UACGUAGGUGACCAGCGUUGUCCGGAUUUACUGGGCGUAAAGAGCGCGCAGGCGGCCGUUCAAGUCGAGUGUGAAAGCCCCCGGCUCAACUGGGGAGGGUCACUCGAUACUGAUCGACUUGAAGGCAGGAGAGGGAAGCGGAAUUCCCGGUGUAGUGGUGAAAUGCGUAGAUAUCGGGAGGAACACCAGUGGCGAAGGCGGCUUCCUGGCCUGUUCUUGACGCUGAGGCGCGAAAGCUAGGGGAGCAAACGGG
rnacentral:rRNA from 1 species